rnacentral:rRNA from 1 species
UCCGUAGGUGGAUAAUUAAGUCAGAGGUGAAAUCCUGCAGCUCAACUGUAGAAUUGCCUUUGAAACUGGUUAUCUUGAGUUAUUAUGAAGUAGUUAGAAUAUGUAGUGUAGCGGUGAAAUGCAUAGAUAUUACAUAGAAUACCAAUUGCGAAGGCAGAUUACUAAUAAUAUACUGACACUGACGGACGAAAGCGUGGGGGGCGAACAGGAUUAGAUACCCUGGUAGUCC